UACGUAGGGUGCGAGCGUUAAUCGGAAUUACUGGGCGUAAAGGGUCCGUAGGCGGUGCGGUAAGUCGGGAGUGAAAUCUCUGGGCUUAACUCAGAGGCUGCUUCCGAAACUACCGUGCUAGAGUGCGAGAGAGGUAAGUGGAAUUGCGGGUGUAGCGGUGAAAUGCGUAGAUAUCCGCAGGAACAUCCGAGGCGAAAGCGGCUUGCUGGAUCGCAACUGACGCUGAGGGACGAAAGCUAGGGGAGCAAACAGG
rnacentral:rRNA from 1 species